UACGUAGGGGGCAAGCGUUGUCCGGAAUCAUUGGGCGUAAAGCGCGUGUAGGCGGCUCGGUAAGUCUGCUGUGAAAGUCCAGGGCUCAACCCUGGGAUGCCGGUGGAUACUGUCGAGCUCGAGUCCGGAAGAGGAGUGUGGAAUUCCUGGUGUAGCGGUGAAAUGCGCAGAUAUCAGGAGGAACACCAAUGGCGAAGGCAGCACUCUGGGACGUGACUGACGCUGAGACGCGAAAGCGUGGGGAGCAAACAGG
rnacentral:rRNA from 2 species